rnacentral:tRNA from 1 species
GCCUGGGUGGCUCAGUUGGUUGAGCGCCUGACUUCGGCUCAGGUCGUGAUCUCAUGGUUCAUGAGUUCGAACCCCGUAUCGGACU